rnacentral:rRNA from 1 species
UCCUUCGGGAUAUAAGCCGAGUGGCGCAAGGGUGAGUAAUGCAUAGAUUACCUGCCUCUAGGAUAAGGACAACUUUGUGAAAACGAAGCUAAUACUUAAUAAUACAAAAGAAAAUAAUUUUUUUUGUCAAUGGGAGGGUAGCAAUACCUUUUGCCUAGAGAGGGGUUUAUGUCCUAUCAGCUUGUUGGUGGGGUAAUGGCCUACCAAGGCGAAGACGGGUAGCCGGUCUUAGAGGAUGGUCGGCCACACUGGGACUGAGACACUGCCCAGACUUCUACGGAAGGCUGCAGUCGAGAAUCUUUCGCAAUGCCCGAAAGGGUGACGAAGCGACGCCGCGUGAGUGAGGAAGGCCUUAGGGUUGUAAAGCUCUGUCAGGAGUUAAGAAAUAUAAGUGUGCUAAUACCACAUUUAUUUGACGAAGGCUCCAAAGGAAGCCACGGCUAACUCUGUGCCAGCAGCCGCGGUAAUACAGAGGUGGCAAGCGUUGUUCGGAAUUAUUGGGCGUAAAGAGCACGUAGGUGGGUUUGUAAGUCAGAUGUGAAAGCCUUCUGUUCAACGGAAGAAUUGCAUCUGAAACUGCAAGUCUUGAGUGUAGGAGGGGAGAAUGGAACUUCUGGUGGAGCGGUGAAAUGCGUAGAUAUCAGAAGGAACGCCGGCGGCGAAAGCGAUUCUCUGGCCUAUUACUGACACUCAGUGUGCGAAAGCUAGGGGAGCAAACGGGAUUAGAUACCCCGGUAGUCCUAGCCGUAAACGAUGGGCACUAAGUAGAGGGAAUUACCGAUGUUCUCUCUGCCGUAGCUAACGCAUUAAGUGCCCCGCCUGGGGAGUACGGCCGCAAGGCUAAAACUCAAAAGAAUUGACGGGGGCUCGCACAAGCGGUGGAGCAUGUGGCUUAAUUCGAUGCAACGCGAAAAACCUUACCGGGGCUUGACAUGGUAGAAGUAGGAACCCGAAAGGGUAACGAACGGUAUCCAGUCCGUAGCUAUCACAGGUGUUGCAUGGCUGUCGUCAGCUCGUGUCGUGAGACGUUGGGUUAAGUCCCCUAACGAGCGAAACCCUUGUUUUUAGUUACCAGCGGGUUAUGCCGGGUACUCUAGAAAGACUGCCGUCGUCAAGACGGAGGAAGGUGGGGAUGACGUCAAGUCAUCAUGGCCCUUAUGCCCCGGGCUGCACACGUGCUACAAUGGUCGGUACAAACGGAAGCGAAGCCGAGAGGUGAAGCGAAUCCUAAAAAGCCGAUCUCAGUUCGGAUUGGAGGCUGAAAUUCGCCUCCAUGAAGUUGGAAUCGCUAGUAAUCGCGGAUCAGCAAUGCCGCGGUGAAUAUGUUCCCGAGCCUUGUACACACCGCCCGU